rnacentral:lncRNA from 1 species
CCUGUUCCCACAGCCUGGCAGUUGUGGAGCCAGCCCUCAGCCUAGUUCCAAAGCCACACAUUUUUCCAACACUUAAAAGUGUGCUGUAUUGUCUUGCAAAAAUAAAUCCAGAAAAAUUAUAUAACAGACCUUUUGGCAAAAUUCCAAGAGCAAAUACAGAAAGCUUUGUCUGAAAGAGAUAGUAAGCCUAAGGUUUUGUAUGCUGUUUUCAAAUCAUUUUAUUUUCAGAGUGGAUAAUACAUUCACAUGUUUCAAAAUAUACAAAGUGUAGUUCAAUGAAAUCUUUCACCUCUGCCCCCAACCACCUGGUGCCCCUUCCAGAAGGCAAAUUUUUUCAGAAAUAUUGGUUUCUUGCAUAUACUUUUAGAAAUAUUCCAUGUAUGAAAACUAUACAAACAUACCCUCCACUAUCACUCCUUUUCUGUAAAUUUGGAAAUAUAUGCUAUUUGGCACCUUUUUUAACCUAAGAAUGAAUUUGGGAUGUCAAUAAGUACCAGUACAUUAAAAAAUAGAAGUAUCCUCAUCUUUUUAUUGCUAUUUUAUUACAUUUUACUUAAUUGUACAACAAUUUAUGUGCUAAGAACCCUGUUAACAACUGUUUAAUUUAUUUUUGUCCCUCUGUUAUUUCAAAAUGAAGUGUUCUGGUGAAUCACCUUGUCUAAGUAGUCGUCUCCAGAUGUGAGUCCUUAGAACCAUAGCCCACUCCACUACCCUGACUUGCUGAAGUUUCCAUGCUAGGACAUUAUGGACUACACUACACUAUUUCCUAGCUCAAAGUUUAAGCUAUAAGUAUUGUGCUGUGAUUUUUAAAAUUUGAUUUCUAACUCGGUCACAAGAUCCCUGUCAAGAGUAGACAUAAGCCAAGAUAGUCACAGUAGAACAAGUUCAGCAGUACCAAAAGGAGGUUCAUAGGAAGUCUGAAGGCAAUAGGGAGCUCAACAGAGAGCAGUUGCGAUGUAAGAGAAACAAAGAGAAGGUGUGAGACUAUGUCUUUAUGAAGACACCCUGGGGAUUAUUUCCUAAGCUUUCCAAAGGAUCUUGUGGAUUGGCUGGUUUAAAGAAAACACAUUCAAAGGGGGAAUUUGCCUGACUCUGGCAUCGGCAAUCAGGCUUAGUAUGGCCAGCAGCUGUGGGAACCCUUGAGUUUGCGUCUGGCUGUGGAAUGAAUAACAAGUGGGCAGUAUCACAGACCAUCUGACAGGAAGAGGACGUUAGAUAGGACUGGGUUUCACAUAAUUUAUGUCAGGCCUAAAAAGGAAUGUCAAAGCAGCAACUAUUUUAAACACGUUAAUGACAGUACUAAAUCUACUGGUUUCCUUUUCUAUUUUGAGAGUGAGAUGAGGGCAAAAGAGCACAAUCAUGUUUUCCUCUCAGAUAGGUAAGUAGGCAUUUAUCUUCUAACCUACUUUACGUGAAAAAAUAAAAUAGCUGUUGAAAUGAUUUCCACCUGGCAGGCUCAUUGGCUUUGGUAUCCAGCACAUUCUCAUUUGUGCAAUCAAGGAGAUGAUGGAUACUUUUAUAUAAAAAAUUUUCCUUAGACUUCCCCUACCCUUUCUUUUCUAUCUACCCUUUCUUCCUUUGACUUUAGAUGGC